GGGGACGACAGGCUUCGACGUGGUCGAAUCGCCGGGGCGAUGGCGAGCCGAGGUCCCGGAGGCCUCGUAAAACACCGGGAACAUCAUAAGUGCGGACUCUCACGAGUACGCCCUCGCUGCUUAGCACCUAGCUAAGCGAGUGAGGACUCGGCCCCCGCCAGCCGGCCGUGGGGUGAUCGGGUUCAUUCAUGUCGGCUCACCCGGGGAGGAUCGCCUCCGCCGAACCGGGGACAUCUCAGGAGGCUGGUCCCGGGAAACCCCGCCGGCGAGGCGAUCCCGGGACGAGAUCAGAGCGCCGGAUACGCUCGUAGAUGUCGCCCCUCGCGCGACCGCGGACGCGGGUUCGAUUCCCGCCGUCUCCACUG
rnacentral:tmRNA from 1 species